AAAGCGAGUCUGAAUAGGGCGUUUAGUAUUUGGUCGUAGACCCGAAACCAGGUGAUCUACCCUUGGUCAGGUUGAAGUUCAGGUAACACUGAAUGGAGGACCGAACCGACUUACGUUGAAAAGUGAGCGGAUGAACUGAGGGUAGCGGAGAAAUUCCAAUCGAACCUGGAGAUAGCUGGUUCUCUCCGAAAUAGCUUUAGGGCUAGCCUCAAGUGAUGAUUAUUGGAGGUAGAGCACUGUUUGGACGAGGGGCCCCUCUCGGGUUACCGAAUUCAGACAAACUCCGAAUGCCAAUUAAUUUAACUUGGGAGUCAGAACAUGGGUGAUAAGGUCCGUGUUCGAAAGGGAAACAGCCCAGACCACCAGCUAAGGUCCCAAAAUAUAUGUUAAGU
rnacentral:rRNA from 1 species